GUGCUCACGUUGGCAGCACAUAUACUAAAAUUGGAAUGAUACAGAGAUUAGCAUGGCCCCUGUGCAAGGAUGACAUGCACAUUUGUGAAGCAAAAGUAAAACAU
rnacentral:snRNA from 1 species